AUUGAACGCUGGCGGCAGGCCUAACACAUGCAAGUCGAGCGGAGCGUCGGACGGGUGAGUAAUGCCUAGGAAUCUGCCUGGUAGUGGGGGAUAACGUCCGGAAACGGGCGCUAAUACCGCAUACUAUCAGAUGAGCCUAGGUCGGUUUAGCUAGUUGGUGGGUUAAAGGCCUACCAGGGCGUCGAUCCGUAACUGGUCUGAGAGGAUGAUCAGCCACACUGGGACUGAGACACGGCCCAGACUCCUACGGGAGGCAGCAGUGGGGAAUAUUGCACAAGGGGCGCAAGCCUGAUGCAGCCCUGCCGCGUGUAUGAAGAAGGCCUUAGGGUUGUAAAGUACUUUCAUCGGGGAGGCGUUACCCGCAGAAGAAGCACCGGCUAACUCCGUGCCAGCAGCCGCGGUAAUUC
rnacentral:rRNA from 1 species